CCAUAUUUAACAAAAGAAAUACCCAAAGAUCACAUUUUUAUUGCACACCUAAUUCUUCCCCCCCCCCCCCCGCCCAUAUUUUGGAAUUCAAGACGGCUGUAAAUCAUUUCCUCUGCCCUCUACCGGUGGCGCCACUUUCUUCCACUACCCAAAAACCUCCAAACCACCCCAAAAUUACACCAUUGCUUCACCUCAUGCCCCUCUCCUCCGAAUUUUCACUGAUUUCUUCUAAAACACAGCCAAAAUCGAUGAACCGAGCCUCAAAAUCAUAAACCCUAACCUCCUUGCCCCCUUUCCGAUUCUGGCAAAACCAAGGCCCGUCUGACUUUGAGAAUUGCACUAUUCAAUAGAUCCUUCCAAGAUCUAUCCGUUGGAGUUAGUCUCUAGUCGAUUCGAUGACCUCUGGUGCCAUUCAACUCGCCGUUGACCGGCAUACAUACCUUGAACCUUCCCUUCUCCUCUUAUUUCGGUCUUUCAGUGGCCAUUUUCACAUGUAGCACUGACUGGAUUGCAAAAUCCAAUUCGGUGCUCAUGUGAAGGUGACUUCUGCUUGCCGAAACUCACUUAUUCUGAUGAGGCUCUAUGAGGUAAACUUCGACUAUUCCUUCCUUUUAUUUCUCUCAUCCUUUCAUUAGUUGAAUCUCAGAGUAAUUUCUUUUGUUCAAAUGGCAUAGUGUCUGCUCAUAUUAAUUAUGGUUUUGAUUUUGAAGAAUGUUUAGUUGUCCCAGUUACUUGAUUGCAUGCGCUUAAUUAGCUCAUCUGGAUUGCUACAUGUUUGUUUUUAAUUAAAACAUGAUUAAUUGGUGUCUUAGCAUUGAUUUCUUUUAAAAUUGCUAAUUACCUGGUUAGUUAGUAAGAUAGCAUAUAAUUUGUUUAGGUAUAUUAGUUUAGGUUUAUUAGUUGAGAGUUGUUUGGACUUUGGUCUGAGUAAUUGAAAGUAUAUGGGAUUGCAUUGGCCAUGGACAUGCUGUAAAUUGUAUUGGACCUUCAAGAGGUCGGUCAGUCAGAGCCCAACACUUAAAAUCUUUUUCAGCUCAGUCAAGUCUCAAGAGAGAUAAGACUAUCAGCUGGAGGAUAGAAUUCAGGUGUCUUAAGAGGAUUACCAGGGGAUUAUUAAAUAGGAAACAUCAAGAAUGAUGAGUUGGAUCUAGUUAAAAAGAUGAGGCUGGGGGAUAUUAAGGGUAGUAGAGGAAGGUCAUUAAAAGAAUCAUUGAGUAACUACUAAAGAGAUGCGACAGAGGGAGGAUCAUUUGGUUACUUUCCAUCACCAAGAGCCCAUGCUGCGUUGCGAGUGUCUCACCCAGAAUAACCUUGCGAUCCUUGCACAACCCUCUAUCGCAUCUCUUAAGGAGGAGAUAAUCAAUCUUCGUCUUCGCCACCUUAAUUUGGAAAGUAACCAAAUGCUCAUCCCUCUUCGAAAAGGAGAGCGAACAAAGAAAGGUAUAAGGUAGCGAGGAAAGAGGUAAAGUUGGUGGUCACGGAGGCUAAGACUGUAGCGUUUGGUCAUCUGUACGAGGAACUAGGGGAUAAAGGCGGGGAUAAGAAGUUAUUUCGGCUGGCUAAGGCGAGAGAGAAUAAGGCUCGGGACCUAGAUCAAGUGAGGUGCAUCAAAGACGAGGACGAUAGAGUAUUGAUAAGGGAGGCUAAAAUUAAGCGGAGAUGGCAAACUUACUUUCAUAGACUUCUGAAUGAAGAGGGGGACUGAGAUAUUAUGCUAGGUUAGUUGGGGCACCCGGAGAGGGAUCGAGACUUUAGGUGUUGUAGGCGAAUUAAGGUUGAGGAAGUCGUGGGGGCUAUGCGUAAGAUGAGUAAGAGCAGAGCAACAGGGCUAGACAAUAUUCUAGUAGAAUUUUAGAGGUGUGUGUGUAAAACAGGCUUGGAGUGGCUAACUGGGCUUUUUAAUGUUAUUUUCAAGACAAAGAGGAUGUCGUAUGAGUGGAGGUGGAGCACGGUGGUACCGUUGUACAAGAACAAAGGUGAUAUCCAGAGUUGUAACAACUAUAGGGGUAUCAAGUUACUAAGUCAUACCAUGAAAGUUUGGAAGAAAGUGAUGGAAGUGAGGGUGAGGAGGACGACGUCUAUAUCCGACAACCAGUUCAAAUUCAUGUCGGGUCAUUCUACUACGGAAGCUAUCCACCUUAUUAGGAGGUUGGUGGACCAAUAUAGGGAUAGGAAGAAGGAUCUGCAUGUGGUGUUUAUUGACCUGAAAAAAGCGUAUGACAACGUCCCUAGGGAGGUUCUCUGGAGAUGCCUGGAGACAAAAUAUGUGUAAGUUGCUUGCAUUGGAGCGAUCAAUGACAUGAAUGACGGAGCUAAGACUCGGGUUAGGACAGUGGGAGGCGACUCGGAGCAUUUCCCGGUUGUUAUGGGGUUACAUCAAGGAUCUGCGCUCAUCCCGUUCUUAUUUGCCCUGGAGAUGGACGCACUGACACGACAUAUUCAAAGGAAAGUGCCAUGGUGUAUAUUAUUCGCUCAUGACAUAGUUCUGAUUGAUGAGACAUGAGGUGGUAUUAACGAGAGUCUGGAGGUUUGGAGACAGGCCCUUGAGUCUAAGGGUUUCAAGUUGAGCAGGAAUAAGACAAAAUACAUGAAGUACAAGUUCAGUGCCGAGUCGAUGGAAGCGGGCAUGGACAUGAGGCUUGGAUCACAGGUCAUCUCCAAGAGAGGCAGUUUCAAGUACCUUGGGUCGGUUAUCCAGGAGGACGGGGAGAUCGACGAGGAUAUCACACACCGUAUAGGAGUGGGAUGGAGAAAAUGGAGGUUAGCAUCUGGAGUCCUAUGUAAUAAGAAAGUGCCAUUGAUACUCAAAGGUAAGUUUUAUAGAGCGAUGGUUAGACCGGCCAUGUUGUAUGGGGUAGUGUGUUGGCCGGUCAAGAACUCACAUAUAUAGAAGAUGAUAGUAGCAGAAAUAAGGAUGUUUAGGUGGAUGUGCGGGCACACUAGGAUGGAUAAGAUUAGGAAUAAAUAUAUUCGGAAGAAGGUGGGUGUGGCUCCUAUAGAUGACAAGAUGCGGGAAGGGAGGCUCAGAUAGUUCGGGCAUAUGCGGAGGAGAAGCCCUAAUAUCCGGUAAGAAAGUGCGAGCGGUUGGCUUUGGCGGGUAGGACAAGAGGUAAAGGGAGGUGAUCAGGCAGGAUAUGGCGCGACUUCAAAUUUCCGAGGACAUGGCCCUUGAUAGGAUGGUGUGGAGGUCGAACAUUAGGAUUGUAGGUUAGGAGGUAGUUGAGCAUUUUUCUUCUUCGUACCGGGUGUGGUUAGUCUGAUAGGGUUUGUCUUAAACUGCUAGAGGUUAAUGUUGUGUUCACUCUAUUCGUCCAUUUUUCAUAGCACCGGGUCUUAUUUACUGGUUAUUAUUAUUGCGUUUCAUCUAUUUUCUGGUUCUUAUGAUGCUGUUAUUAUUUUUAUGGUUUCUGUUGAUGGUACUGAUAUAUUAUCUCUUUUUGUCUUGUUCAUUUUCUUGAGCCGAGGGUCUAUCGGAAACAGCCUCUCUACUCUAUCGGGGUAGUGGUAAGGUCUGCGUACACACUACCCUCCUCAUGCCUCUCACUUGUGGGAUUUUACUGGGUUGUUGUUGUUGUUGUUGCUAUUGAGUAACUACUAAGAAGGUGCUAAGAGAGGGUAGAGUUAUUGUCAUUGGUUAAAGGCAUAGGAUCUGUUGGUAGAGGGGUAAAAAGGGGAAAGUAGUAGGGCCGUGGAUAAUUUGGUAAAUACCGAAUUACCAUACCGAAACCGUAAAUUUUGGUAUUUGGUAUUCGAUAUUUUGGUAUUCGGUAUGGUAUUUGGUUUAAGUUUUAAAAACAAUUGGUAUUAGGUAUGGUAUUCGGUAUUUUAUAAUGAAAUAUCGAAAUACCGAUACCGUACCGAAAUAUAUAUUAUAUUACAUAAUACACAUAUUAUUAAUUAUAACAUAAACAUAAAAAAAAUAUAAAAUAUUAUUUUCUUUUAUUCUCUAAGUUCAUCAAUUAACUCUAAGUAACAAGACAUUUCUAAUACAACAACAACAACAUACCCAGUCUUAUCCCACGCCGUGGGGUCUGGGGAGGGUAGUGUGUGCGCAGACUUUACCCCUACCUUGUGAGGAUAGAGAGGCUAUUUUCAAUAGACCCUCGGCUCAGGAAAGCAUAAGCACCACAUUAAUGAAAAUAUAGACAAGAAGGGACAGUGCCAAAAAGGCAUAUAAAAGCAGAAUAAAAAUAACAAGGUAAUAAGGUAAUCCACAAUGAAAGAAAACAACGGUUAGUCAUAAAAACCUACUGCCCACAGAAAGCGAGACUGUGUGUCAAUACUACUAUUAUAAACACUCUACACUACAUAAUCCACUACCCUAAUCCUCGACCUCCAUACAUUCCUAUCAAGGGCCAUGUCCUUGGUCAGCUGAAGUUGCGGCAUGUCUUGCCUAAUCACCUCUCCCCACCUUUUCUUUGGCCUACCUCUACCUCUCCGUAGGCCCUCCAAUGUCAACCUCUUAUACCUCCUCACCGGGGCGUCUGUGCUCCUCCUCCUCACAUUACCAAACUACCUAAACCGCGCUUCCCGCAUCUUGUCCUCAAUAGGAGUCACACCUACCUUGUCGCGAAUAACCUCAUUUCUGAUCCUAUCUAACCUGGUGUGCCCGCACAUCCAUCUCAACACCAUCAUCUCUGCUACCUUCAUCUUCUGGACAUGAGCGAUCUUGACUGGCCAACACUCAGCCCCAUACAACAACGUUGGUUUGACCAUCACUCUGUAGAACUUACCCUUAAGUUUCGGUGGCACCUUCUUGUCACAUAAAACACCAGAAGCGAGUCUCCAUUUCAUCCAUCCUGCCCCAAUACGAUGUGUGACAUCUUCAUCAAUCUCCCCAUCCCCUGAAUAAUAGACCCAAGGUACUUAAAAUUCCCUCUCCUAGGGAUGACCUGCGAGUCCAGCCUCACCUCCCCUUCCCCCCUUGAGUCUCGCUACUGAACUUAUAUUCCAUGUAUUCUAUCUUGGUCCUGCUCAACAAGACAUUUCUAAUGAUCAAAUUUAUUCCUUUAUGUAUAGUUUUCUCUCUCUGGGUUGAUAUUUACUAAUUUUGGACAAAACUUUUGUCAACAAACGUUUUUAGUUUUGUACUUUUGAGUACCUUAAUUACGAAUAUUACAGUCUAUGACUUUAUGCACUAGCUAGAAUUCAAACCGAAUAAAUCGAAGUUACCGAAUCGAAUAAACCGAAACCGAACGGAGAAAACCGAAUCAUACCGAAUUUAAUUAGGUAUGUUAUUGAUAUAACAUUUUAAGAAACUGAACACCGAAAAUACCGAACCGAAAUGUCUAAAUAUUGUACCGUACCGACCGACGAUCUCCCCUCAUAUAAAGUCUGCAUUUCCUUUUUACGAGGCAGUUUAAAGGUUAACUUGGAGAGAUUUUAGAGACGAUAAAAAUACUCUUUUUUUCUCAGAGAAAGAGUUAUAGAAAUCAUUAAGCUAAACACAUUUCUUUCCUGAAGAUUUCUGAAAUUCCAAGAAAAGCUAGUGAUAGAUGGUGAUUGUUCGAGUAUGAGUCGAUGAUUUUACUGAUUAUUCUGGAAAAAAUUAUUGAUUUCUGGGUAUUUCGAGUUGGAGAUUGCUGUUGUUGCUUAAGUUGUUGAGCUUCAUUUCUUUGCUUUCUUAUUCGAUUAUUGUUCUGCUAUAAAAUCUGCAUUCAAUGUACUAUUUGCAUUACCAUGUAAUUUUUUAGAGUACCUAUAAAUAUAGUUGUGUGAAAUUAUCAGUAUUAGUUAUAUCCAUAAUUUUGAAAUGUGUUUGUUAAUUAGUUAGCCAUGUUGUGAUUGAUAAAUAAAGUGAUAUUUGACUAGUUUGUGGUUGGAUGAUGUAGUGACUCAGUUCUCAGGUUAUACUAUUGUAUUACUGCUUGUUUUAAGUAGUGAAACACCCGUGGCUUUUGCAUCUAUACCCGGUUUUGGGAUCACAAUUGAAGCUAUACCCACUUUGCAAAAUAAAUUGCAAGUCUAUCCACUUUACGAUCAACUUCAGACUUAUCGGGUAUGAAGUUAAAAAAAAUUAGUCUGAAGUGCAAUGCACUUAAAGGCCAAUUAAGUCUAAAGUGCAAAAAUUACACUUAAGGCCAAAUAAGUCCAAAGUGCAAUAAAAAAAAUUUAUGAACUUAAGGUCAUAGAGGUCUGAAGUGAAAAAUUGCACUUCAGAUGCACUUAAGGCUAAAUUGGUCUGAAGUGCCACCAAUGGUUUCAUGCACUUAAGGCCGAAAAAUCUGAAGUGAAAAAAUUGCAUUUCACAUGCACUUAAGACCAAAUAAGUCUGAAGUGCAACCAACAUUUUUAUGCACUUAAAGCCAAAUAGGUCUGAAGUGCAAAUUGCCGAGAAAUAGAAAUUUGUUCUUCGAAUUUUAACAAUCCAAUAUACGAUUUAGCACCUAAAUCUACUCCAAAUGAUCUCAAAUUUGAAACAUAACUUCCAUAUAUCAUCAAGAACAAACCACAAUCAUCAAUUUAUCAAAAUAAUAAUAAAUCUAAUGAACUCAUUUUGCAAUUAAGAAAAAGAAGAAAAAAUCCUAAGACAAUAGUAAAAAAUAAAGCGUCGCAGCAGCUCACUAUUAUAAAACAUCAUAAACUCCCUUAAAAUAUAUUCACAAACACCAUAUAAAAUCACUGUAACCCGAAGAAGAAGGAGAAGGAGAAGGAUGAGAAGGAGGAGUUGUUUAAACUUUGGGUGCUAGUUAAAAAAAAUUAAAAAGUAAUUACAGGUUAAAUGGCAACGAUCAAAUAGGACGCCCCGUGCAAUUUUUAAGAAACACUCGAAUACAACCUCAUUAGUUGCAGCUUGAGGAUCUGGCCGCCAGUUGGUCAGAUCCAAGCAUUCGUGUUCUAAUUUUGAUCAUUUCCCUUAAAUAAACACCUUUGAAUUUCCUACUUUUGUCGGCCUGUGUGUUUUUAGUAGUUGAUUAGAGCCUAGGUUUCAAUCUUGAAAUACUCAAGUUUGCAAGGGUUGUCUCAUGGCUAUUUUUUCAAACUUGACAUUUGAACAAGGCUAGAGGAUGGUUAUCUCAUGAAGAAUAGAAGUGGUUGGCCACUGCAAGUUAGAAGUUGCUAACAAGAAGGGCUACUGCUGUAAUAGACUAGCUUCGUUUGAUUGUAAUAUGAUAAAUUAGUUAUUAUAUCUGCAAAUGUAUUCCUUUUGUAUGAGAUUUGUGAUAGUUUGUUCGAUCAAUUGUUUAUUGGUUUAUUCUGCAAUGUUGAUUGUUAACAAUAUUCUGGCCGAAUUGGACCUAUUGCCCGGCGGCAAGUGGUUUAUGCAUAGGUCUAUAGGUUUGGGGCCAAUUGGGCUUCGAACUUCUACUUUCGUUUCUAGCACAAUAUAUUUCAAAGGUCCAAAUGAGACCUGCCGCCAGGGUAAAAGGCCAGCCAUUGAUAGUGCCAUGCCCAACGCUAUUGGGCUCCCACUUUGAGCCCAGUCGAGGUGGCGAUCCAAUGAAGAAUUAACCCAAGUAGCAGUCCACCCAACCACUUAAACUAAAAAUAACUGGUGGAGGUAUAAUAAAUGCAUAAUUUAUGUCUUAUAUAUGUAUAAUUAUGUAUAAACAUUGUAUAAUCUAUGUAUAUGACUAGAUAAAAGUAAACAGUAAAUAUGGCCGGCUAUAUGUGUAAAGAUCCCCGAUCCAGUAACCUCAAAUUUCGAAUAAUACACUUCUUUCACAAAAUAAUUUCAUAAAUUCCUGGCCUCACAAUAACCUC
rnacentral:lncRNA from 1 species